AUGCCACUGAUCACAGCCACUUUCAUGGCCCUUGCCUUGUGCUUCGCCCCUGCACCUGCAGUGGGUGCAGCGGCGACACUCUCGGCGCCGCGUCCGCUGCGGGGCAACGACACGCUGGUCUCGGCACAGGGCAAGUUCGAGCUCGGCCUCUUCAUCCCUGCUGGCAGCUCCGGCGACAGGUUCUACCUCGGGAUCUGGUACAAGAACAUCCCCGGCCAGACCAUCAUCUGGGUGGGCAACCGCGCGAGUCCACUAUCUGCUGUCGCCUCCGCCGAGCUCCGUGUCUCCGCUGACGACGGCAACCUCGAGCUCGUCGGUCCCACCGCUGCCUCCACCUCGCCGGUCGUCGUGUGGUCUUCGAACCUGUCGUCUUCCUUGUCGCCGGGCUCAAACAACACGGCGGAGAUCCACGACAACGGCAACCUGGUCCUUGUCGACGGCAGCAACUCCUCCAACGUGCUGUGGCAAAGCUUCGACCACCCGACGGACACGCUGGUGCCAGAAGCGUGGAUCGGGGAAAACAAGCUCACCGGCGAGUACCAGGCGUUGACAUCGUGGCGGAACGCCCAGGACCCCGCGCCGGGGAUCUUCAGCGAGACGCUCGACCCGAACGGCGCUAGCGAGGUCUUCUACAUGUGGAACCGGUCCCGCGUGUACUGGCGGACCGGCGUCUGGAUGGGCCAAGCCUUCGCGAAGCUGCCAGAGGCGACGAAAAACACCAUCUACAACGGGACGUACGUCGAGCCGCCGGCGUACCGGCGCGUCAUCAACGUGCUCUACGACAAUGCAACCAUAACACGCAGCGUGCUCGAUCCCACCGGCCAGGCACAAAUGUACAUUUGGAUGCCCACGAGCCAGAGCUGGCAGCCCUUGUGGACCGGUCCCAUGUUGCAGUGCGACGUGUACGCGCUCUGCGGCGCAUUCGGCGUUUGCGACCAGGGAGGCAAGCUACCUUGCCACUGUCCGCCCGGAUUUGCCCCGGCGUCGGAGGGGGACUGGACGCUCAACGAUUGGAGCGGUGGGUGCCGCCGGAGCUCGCCGCUCACGUGCGCGCACGAUGGAUCAAGGACGGACGGGUUCCUGAUGCUGCCAGACGUGAAACUUCCCGAUGACUCGGUCACCGUGGGCGCUGCCCAGAGCAAAGUAGAGUACGAAUCGGCUUGCCUAAAGAUCUGCUCUUGCCAAGCCUAUGCCUUCUCUGUCAGGGAGUGCACCGUCUGGUACGGAGAGCUCCGCAACCUUCAGCAGCUCUACUUGGACUCUGACAGCCCCGGGUCAGACCUGUACCUUCGGCUUUCAGAAAGAGGAUUGCAAGAUCUCCAUAGCGUAGACAGGGAGAAAAUGGGGAGAAAGUUAUGGUUUGUCCUUGGCAUCAUAUUGGCUGGUGUUGCAGCAGUGGGGGCAUCGAUCAUACUACUAGCCUGGAGGAUUGUUCUUGCCCGAAGGAGACUAGUCAGUAUGGCAAAUGAGAAUGUAACCUCCUUGGCCGUGUACAGUUACGGCGACCUCCGUGCCGCAACGAAGGACUUCUCGGAGCGGCUGGGCCGCGGUAGCUUCGGCUCGGUGUACCGCGGUGUCCUGAAGCGGCAUAAGGGAGACAACUCAAUCAGAGUCCAGGUGGCAGUGAAGAAGCUUGAAAGUCUUGGGCGGCAGGGCGACAAGCAGUUCCGGAUGGAAGUGAGCACGCUGGGCUGCAUCCAACACGUGAACCUCGUCCGACUCCUCGGGUUCUGCUCGUCAGGCGACAAUAAGAUGCUCGUCUAUGAGUACAUGCCCAGAGGCUCCCUCGACGGCCUCCUCUUCCGUGACGGCGCGUGCCUGAGCUGGCGCCACCGGUACUGCAUCAUGCUCGGUGUGGCCAGAGGGCUGGCCUACCUGCACCACGGCUGCCGCGAAUGCAUCAUACACUGCGACGUCAAGCCGGAGAACAUCCUGCUGGACGAGGACAUGUCGCCGAGGAUCGCCGACUUUGGGAUGGCGAAGCUGGUGGGGAGGGACUUCAGCCGCGCGCUGACGACUAUGCGGGGCACCAUCGGGUACCUGGCGCCGGAGUGGAUCUCUGGGCAGCCUAUCAGCGCUAAGGCCGACGUGUACAGCUUCGGCAUGGUGCUCUUUGAGCUCAUCUCAGGACGACGUAACUCCAAAGGGUACAGUGAGUUGGAGGCGGCAAGGACUGGUGGGAGUGAGUCCUCCUUGCCCUUCUUCCCAGUGUGGGCCGCCGGAAAGGUUUUGAAAGGUGAGGUGGGCGCCGUGGUUGACCCCCGGCUGCGCGGUGAGGUGAUGCCAAAGGAGCUGGAGCGGGCGUGCAGGGUGGCAUGCUGGUGCGUCCAGGACGAGGAGGCGCAACGCCCGACCAUGGCGCAGGUCGUGCAGGCGCUGGAAGGCGCCGUCCACAUCCAAGCGCCGCCGGUGCCACGAACGCUGGAGCACCUUGUCACCCUCAUGUAA
rnacentral:rRNA from 1 species